GACGAACGCUGGCGGCGUGCCUAAUACAUGCAAGUAGAACGCUGAAGGAGGAGCUUGCUCUUCUGGAUGAGUUGCGAACGGGUGAGUAACGCGUAGGUAACCUGCCUGGUAGCGGGGGAUAACUAUUGGAAACGAUAGCUAAUACCGCAUAAAAUUGAUUAUUGCAUGAUAGUCAAUUAAAAGGUGCAAUUGCAUCACUACCAGAUGGACCUGCGUUGUAUUAGCUAGUUGGUGAGGUAACGGCUCACCAAGGCAACGAUACAUAGCCGACCUGAGAGGGUGAUCGGCCACACUGGGACUGAGACACGGCCCAGACUCCUACGGGAGGCAGCAGUAGGGAAUCUUCGGCAAUAGACGGAAGUCUGACCGAGCAACGCCGCGUGAGUGAAGAAGGUUUUCGGAUCGUAAAGCUCUGUUGUAAGAGAAGAACGAGUGUGAGAGUGGAAAGUUCACACUGUGACGGUAGCUUACCAGAAAGGGACGGCUAACUACGUG
rnacentral:rRNA from 1 species